rnacentral:siRNA from 1 species
UGUCAUGUGUAUGAUUGAGUAU